rnacentral:rRNA from 1 species
CCUACGGGAGGCAGCAGUAGGGAAUUUUCCGCAAUGAGCGAAAGCUUGACGGAGCGACACAGCGUGCAGGAUGAAGGUCUUCGGAUUGUAAACUGCUGUUGUAAGGGAAGAAAAAAUUUAAUAGGAAAUGAUUAAAUCUUGACGGUACCUUAUUAGAAAGUGACGGCUAACUAUGUGCCAGCAGCCGCGGUAAU